rnacentral:snoRNA from 1 species
AAGACUAUACUUUCAGGCGUCAUGUCUAUAGCUCGUUACUAGAGAAGUUUCUCUGAACAAUAUAGAUCACCAGAAACCAUGAGGAGGAGGCGUAGUGUUCUGAGCGUGAAGCCAGCUCCUAGUGUUGCUUCACGGCAUCUGCCAUUUACCAUCGAUGAUCGUUCUUCUCUUCCUUUGGGAGAGUAAGAGGGAGAGAAUGCAGUCUGAGUGGA